GACAGAUGUAAAUAAAGAAUAUACUAAAAUAACAUUUACACCAACACAAGCAGAUCGUUUGGUACUAGCAUUUCGAAACUGGCUGAGGCGGCACGGAAAGGGCCAACCUGAAUGGUUUGGGGCUAGCAGCCAGCAACCUCUGCCAUCAACAGUUCUAUCUAAACGUCAGAUGCUGGACAGAUUUGAGCAGCACACACUCCAUUGUUCAUCAUGUAGAGGAGCUUAUAAAACAUUUCAGACACUGCAAAAGCUACUAAUUGGUGCAACUGUAGUUUUCGCAGCCACGGCCGGCAUCCCUUCU
rnacentral:misc_RNA from 1 species